rnacentral:rRNA from 1 species
CCUACGGGAGGCAGCAGUGGGGAAUAUUGCACAAUGGGCGAAAGCCUGAUGCAGCGACGCCGCGUGAGGGAUGACGGCCUUCGGGUUGUAAACCUCUUUCAGCAGGGAAGAAGCGAAAGUGACGGUACCUGCAGAAGAAGCGCCGGCUAACUACGUGCCAGCAGCCGCGGUAAUACGUAGGGCGCAAGCGUUGUCCGGAAUUAUUGGGCGUAAAGAGCUCGUAGGCGGCUUGUCACGUCGGUUGUGAAAGCCCGGGGCUUAACCCCGGGUCUGCAGUCGAUACGGGCAGGCUAGAGUGUGGUAGGGGAGAUCGGAAUUCCUGGUGUAGCGGUGAAAUGCGCAGAUAUCAGGAGGAACACCGGUGGCGAAGGCGGAUCUCUGGGCCAUUACUGACGCUGAGGAGCGAAAGCGUGGGGAGCGAACAGGAUUAGAUACCCUGGUAGUCCACGCCGUAAACGGUGGGAACUAGGUGUUGGCGACAUUCCACGUCGUCGGUGCCGCAGCUAACGCAUUAAGUUCCCCGCCUGGGGAGUACGGCCGCAAGGCUAAAACUUAAAGGAAUUGAACGG